AGGUUUGUUUGAAACAGACCGCAAUGGAGAGGUCAGCGCCCAGGGAAGCGAGGGAACAGCAGGCUCCUUCCAGCAGCACAUCGGGAUGGGAGCCUGGGACACAGAGGGGGCUCCGAGACCGGGAUUGAUUCGGGGCAAAUGAUUGAUGGACCAGUUCCCUCAGUACAAAGACAAGUGUGACCAGCUGCUUCUAACAACUAACAGAUAAAUACUUGAAGGACCAAGAGAAUGUAAUAUUAUCUCGGUAUGGAGUCAAGUGUGAUCGGUUCCUUCUGACGAACAGCAGACACAUCUGAAGAUUCCUGAAGAAGAGCUCAUGCCUGAAACGUCGACUCUCCUGCUCCUUGGAUGCUGCCUGACCUGCUGCGCUUUUCCAGCAACACAUUUUCAGCUUAGACACAUCUGCUAUGGGGAGAAAGAUUCUCACAAUCUACUCUGUCUGCAUCUCUCAUAAUUUGGUUUACUUCAGUCAGAUCCUCCCUCCACCUCCUCUUCUCCAAUGAAACUAAACCUGGCCUAUCCAGUCUCUCCUCAUGAUGGAAACUUUCCAACCCACUGCACUCUGUCCAGUGCAAUCACUUCUUCUGAUAGGGUGGUAACCAAAACUGCACAUUCCAGUAUUCUAUCUGUGGCCGAGCCAAUGUUUUGUAAACUUGUUCGAAGACUUCCUUGCUGUUAUAUUGUACAGCUCAAGUAUGGCUCCUUCAGCAGCCUGUCUGCCUGUGCUGACACCUUCUGGGAUCUAUAGACUUGUACACUAUGGUCCCCUUCUUUCUCAGUAUUCCCUAGGGACCAGCCCUUCAUUGUGUAAUUCUUUCCCGUAUUAGACCUCCCAAAAUACAUUACAUCAUACUUACCAGGAUUAAACUCUGUCUGCCAUUGCCCUGCCCAAUGUACUUGCACUGUAUCCUGAGACCAUCCUCCAUUACUGUCAAUCACAACCCUAAUUUUCAUAUCACAGAACAAAGAACAGUACAGCACAGGAUCAGGCCCAUCACCUGCACUGAUACUUUUUGCACUUCGGCAUGAAAAGCUCAUAUACAGGUAAUUAAUUAUAUGUCCUACAUUCACAUCCAAGUCGUUAAUGUAUUUAACAAAUAGCAAGGAUCCCAGCACUGAUCCCGGUGGCUGUCGUGGUGGCCUGUGUCUGGACAGAAUAGAGUGGCCCAUGUCUGUUAACACAAACUGGUGUGUAAGUGAAAGUAGAAUUAAACAGCAGGAUGUGAAACAGAAUUGAGGCAGAAACUAAGCUAAACAACCUACUUACACUCAGUGGGACAUAAUGAUACCAUUGAACAAGCCACUGCAAGGACAGUAAAAAGUACAAGAAGACCUAAGGUCCAAUAAAUGAGUAACUCCAGCCACAUUAAAUGAAAGGGUAAUUGUCCCAGUUAAUGAACAGAUACCAGAUGCUAGUUACAGCCCAUUAAUGCCUUAAAACAGCUGAGGGUGCAACAGCUAAAGUUAUCUUAUAGUACUCAGUUUCUUGAAAUCUGUUAGAAUAUUAUGACAAAGAUUAUCACAAAGAGUAGUUUUCAACAUAAAAAAUAGGUGCAUAAUACAAAAACAUAAAGAGGAAAAGAAGCAUUUAAACCUGGAAGUGAAGGUUAGUUAGCUUUAGGUAACGCCUUCUUUUACACCCAGAACAAAAUAGAUUGCUCACAGCUCAUUAAUCACAAAGUGCUAACAUUACCUUACACUUUGUAACUAAGUUUUUAUAACAAAUUAAGAUUACAAGUUGAUAGCAAUUAAGUCAAAACAGACUGUCGUUUGUUUUUUCUUCAUAUAUAAUUAGGACUGUUGGGAAUAUAAGAAGAGCAAUUGAAUUUGAUAAAAUGGAAUACAAUGAAUAACAGCAUUCAAGGUGUCCCUAGAGACAAGCUAGCCUCAGAGAAACCCGAAGGUGUUCAGCAAAUAACUUUGGAAUGUGAAUGAAUAGGAUGCACAGAAAGAUCGCAAGGCCUAGAGAUUACAUUUAUCUCUAUUUAUCCCCAUUUAUCUCUCCACCCUGGAGGCUUCCUGAUGAAGGGCUUUUGCCCGAAACAUCAAUUUUCCUGCUCCUCGACUGCUGCCUGAUCUGCUGUGCUUUUCCAGCACCACCCUGAUCUAAACUCUGGUUUCCAGCAACUGCAGUCCUCACUUUUGCCAAGAGAUUACAGUGUCUGCUAAAUUCUGAGAGGUCAGGGAAUCCUGGGGCUGUCCAUAGAAAUACCAAUCAUUGGUUAGGUGACUCAUAGAAUAGAGUAUGCAAAGUAAGGGGGAGGAACAUGAUAAUUACAUACAAUGUGAUUACUAACAAAGUUUAUAAAAAGUACUCCUUUUUAUUGUAAAAUCAGGCUGUCAUGGACCUUUCUUCUGAGGCCAGUCUCAGGGGAAGAUCAUUUGGCCCUCUCCCUGCACUUACUAGUUUCUGCUUGAAUAAAUACCAACCACUUG